UAGACACGUGAGCAACAGUAAAUAUGAAAGGA
rnacentral:piRNA from 1 species